CUGUAUAUUUUCAGGUUCCCGGACGGGGGACGACGCUGGAGGACGACGCUGGAGGACGACGUUGGAGGACCAAGGCCGGCCAACAGAAGAAGAGGAAUUUAUUGUCUAGUUAUGUACAGUGCAUCCUAUUAGUGAAAAGGCGGAAGACAGUUAACGCUGAUCCAGAUGCCUUAGUGAGACAGAGCUUGUCUCCCAUUCAACUGGAGCCCCCUACUGGAAGAUGCGGAUGCAGACCGAUGGGGCCCGUCAGAAGAUGAACGCAAGGAGCCGAUUCCGCAACCAGGAAGCCUAUUAGAGAAGUGCCAUUUAUGUCUCCCUUUCUUAUUUUUUGUCUGUUUCUUGUAUCCUCCCUACGCUAACAUAACUAAAACUUAUCUUCUCCUCCCCAUCCUCUUCCUCCAUUUUACUCUUUCCUGAUCUAAUUGCUUAAAUUGUCUUCAUUUUCUUAAUCGAUUUGUUCAUCUCAUCUUCGUUUAAUGUUUGUGUUUAUGUCAAUUUCUCGAAUUAUUUGUGUUUAUUGUGUUGAGUUUUUACUAAUUUUGUUCUAGCGGUAUAUUUUCAGGUUCCCGGACGGGGGACGACGCUGGAGGACGACGUUGGAGGACCAAGGCCGGCCAACAGAAGAAGAGGAAUUUAUUGUCUAGUUAUGUACAGUGCAUCCUAUUAGUGAAAAGGCGGAAGACAGUUAACGCUGAUCCAGAUGCCUUAGUGAGACAGAGCUUGUCUCCCAUUCAACUGGAGCCCCCUACUGGAAGAUGCGGAUGCAGACCGAUGGGGCCCGUCAGAAGAUGAACGCAAGGAGCCGAUUCCGCAACCAGGAAGCCUAUUAGAGAAGUGCCAUUUAUGUCUCCCUUUCUUAUUUUUUGUCUGUUUCCUGUAUCCUCCCUACGCUAACAUAACUAAAACUUAUCUUCUCCUCCCCAUCCUCUUCCUCCAUUUUACUCUUUCCUGAUCU